rnacentral:rRNA from 1 species
CCUACGGGGGGCAGCAGUGGGGAAUAUUGGGCAAUGGGCGCAAGCCUGACCCAGCAACGCCGCGUGAAGGAAGAAGGCUUUCGGGUUGUAAACUUCUUUUGUCAGGGACGAAGAAAGUGACGGUACCGGACGAAUAAGCAACGGCUAACUACGUGCCAGCAGCCGCGGUAAUACGUAGGUGGCAAGCGUUAUCCGGAUUUACUGGGUGUAAAGGGCUUGUAGGCGGGACGGCAAGUCAGAUGUGAAAACCACGGGCUCAACCUGUGGCCUGCCUUUGAAACUGUUGUUCUUGAGUACCGGAGAGGCAGGCGGAAUUCCUAGUGUAGCGGUGAAAUGCGUAGAUAUUAGGAGGAACACCAGUGGCGACGGCGGCCUGCUGGACUGCACCUGACGCUGAGGCGCGAAAGCGUGGGGAGCAAACAGGAUUAGAUACCCCUGUAGUC